CCCUUAGAUGAUUUGGGCUGCACGCGCGCUACACUGACCCUAACAAUGAGCAACUGUCUGGCCCGAGAUGGCUGGGUAGCCUUUUCAACCCAUGUCAUGAUUGGGCUAGAUUUUUGUAAGUCUUGAUCUCUAACGAGGAAUCCCUAGUAUGCGUGAAUCAUCAAUCCAUGCAGAUUAUGUCCCUGCCCUUUGUACACACCGCCCGCCGCUCCUACUGAUUGGGUGAUCCGGUGAGCUGUUCGGCCAUAGCAAUGUUUCUUGAGCAGGGCAAUGAAUGUUUCGCAAACCUUGCCACUUAGAGGAAGGAGAAGUCGUAACA
rnacentral:rRNA from 1 species